GGGUUGUGAGGUUAAGCGACUAAGCGUACACGGUGGAUGCCCUGGCAGUCAGAGGCGAUGAAGGACGUGCUAAUCUGCGAAAAGCGUCGGUAAGGUGAUAUGAACCGUUACAGCCGGCGAUGUCCGAAUGGGGAAACCCAGUGCAAUUCGUUGCACUAUCGUUAACUGAAUACAUAGGUUAACGAGGCGAACCGGGGGAACUGAAACAUCUAAGUACCCCGAGGAAAAGAAAUCAACCGAGAUUCCCCCAGUAGCGGCGAGCGAACGGGGAGCAGCCCAGAGUCUGAAUCAGCUUGUGUGUUAGUGGAACGGUCUGGAAAGUCCGACGGUACAGGGUGAUAGUCCCGUACACCAAAAUGCACAGGUUGUGAACUCGAAGAGUAGGGCGGGACACGUGGUAUCCUGUCUGAAUAUGGGGGGACCAUCCUCCAAGGCUAAAUACUCCUGACUGACCGAUAGUGAACCAGUACCGUGAGGGAAAGGCGAAAAGAACCCCGGCGAGGGGAGUGAAAAAGAACCUGAAACCGUGUACGUACAAGCAGUGGGAGCACCUUCGGGUGUGACUGCGUACCUUUUGUAUAAUGGGUCAGCGACUUAUAUUCUGUAGCAAGGUUAACCGUAUAGGGGAGCCGCAGGGAAACCGAGUCUUAACUGGGCGUUAAGUUGCAGGGUAUAGACCCGAAACCCGGUGAUCUAGCCAUGGGCAGGUUGAAGGUUGGGUAACACUAACUGGAGGACCGAACCGACUAAUGUUGAAAAAUUAGCGGAUGACUUGUGGCUGGGGGUGAAAGGCCAAUCAAACCGGGAGAUAGCUGGUUCUCCCCGAAAGCUAUUUAGGUAGCGCCUCGUGAACUCAUCUUCGGGGGUAGAGCACUGUUUCGGCUAGGGGGUCAUCCCGACUUACCAACCCGAUGCAAACUACGAAUACCGAAGAAUGUUAUCACGGGAGACACACGGCGGGUGCUAACGUCCGUCGUGAAGAGGGAAACAACCCAGACCGCCAGCUAAGGUCCCAAAGUCAUGGUUAAGUGGGAAACGAUGUGGGAAGGCACAGACAGCCAGGAUGUUGGCUUAGAAGCAGCCAUCAUUUAAAGAAAGCGUAAUAGCUCACUGGUCGAGUCGGCCUGCGCGGAAGAUGUAACGGGGCUAAACCAUGCACCGAAGCUGCGGCAGCGACACUAUGUGUUGUUGGGUAGGGGAGCGUUCUGUAAGCCUGCGAAGGUGUGCUGUGAGGCAUGCUGGAGGUAUCAGAAGUGCGAAUGCUGACAUAAGUAACGAUAAAGCGGGUGAAAAGCCCGCUCGCCGGAAGACCAAGGGUUCCUGUCCAACGUUAAUCGGGGCAGGGUGAGUCGACCCCUAAGGCGAGGCCGAAAGGCGUAGUCGAUGGGAAACAGGUUAAUAUUCCUGUACUUGGUGUUACUGCGAAGGGGGGACGGAGAAGGCUAUGUUAGCCGGGCGACGGUUGUCCCGGUUUAAGCAUGUAGGCUGGUUAUCCAGGCAAAUCCGGAUAAUCAAGGCUGAGGUGUGAUGACGAGGCACUACGGUGCUGAAGUAACAAAUGCCCUGCUUCCAGGAAAAGCCUCUAAGCAUCAGGUAACAUCAAAUCGUACCCCAAACCGACACAGGUGGUCAGGUAGAGAAUACCAAGGCGCUUGAGAGAACUCGGGUGAAGGAACUAGGCAAAAUGGUGCCGUAACUUCGGGAGAAGGCACGCUGGUGUGUAGGUGAAGUCCCUGCGGAUGGAGCUGAGACCAGUCGAAGAUACCAGCUGGCUGCAACUGUUUAUUAAAAACACAGCACUGUGCAAACACGAAAGUGGACGUAUACGGUGUGACGCCUGCCCGGUGCCGGAAGGUUAAUUGAUGGGGUUAUCCGUAAGGAGAAGCUCUUGAUCGAAGCCCCGGUAAACGGCGGCCGUAACUAUAACGGUCCUAAGGUAGCGAAAUUCCUUGUCGGGUAAGUUCCGACCUGCACGAAUGGCGUAAUGAUGGCCAGGCUGUCUCCACCCGAGACUCAGUGAAAUUGAACUCGCUGUGAAGAUGCAGUGUACCCGCGGCAAGACGGAAAGACCCCGUGAACCUUUACUAUAGCUUGACACUGAACAUUGAGCCUUGAUGUGUAGGAUAGGUGGGAGGCUUUGAAGCGUGGACGCCAGUCUGCGUGGAGCCAACCUUGAAAUACCACCCUUUAAUGUUUGAUGUUCUAACGUUGGCCCCUGACCGGGGUUGCGGACAGUGUCUGGUGGGUAGUUUGACUGGGGCGGUCUCCUCCCAAAGCGUAACGGAGGAGCACGAAGGUUAGCUAAUCCUGGUCGGACAUCAGGAGGUUAGUGCAAUGGCAUAAGCUAGCUUGACUGCGAGCGUGACGGCGCGAGCAGGUGCGAAAGCAGGUCAUAGUGAUCCGGUGGUUCUGAAUGGAAGGGCCAUCGCUCAACGGAUAAAAGGUACUCCGGGGAUAACAGGCUGAUACCGCCCAAGAGUUCAUAUCGACGGCGGUGUUUGGCACCUCGAUGUCGGCUCAUCACAUCCUGGGGCUGAAGUAGGUCCCAAGGGUAUGGCUGUUCGCCAUUUAAAGUGGUACGCGAGCUGGGUUUAGAACGUCGUGAGACAGUUCGGUCCCUAUCUGCCGUGGGCGCUGGAGAAUUGAGGGGGGCUGCUCCUAGUACGAGAGGACCGGAGUGGACGCAUCACUGGUGUUCGGGUUGUCAUGCCAAUGGCACUGCCCGGUAGCUAAAUGCGGAAGAGAUAAGUGCUGAAAGCAUCUAAGCACGAAACUUGCCCCGAGAUGAGUUCUCCCUGAGACUAUAAGUCUCCUGAAGGAACGUUAAAGACGAUGACGUUGAUAGGCCGGGUGUGUAAGCGCAGCGAUGCGUUGAGCUAACCGGUACUAAUGAACCGUGAGGCUUAACCUUACAACGCCGAAG
rnacentral:rRNA from 14 species